rnacentral:rRNA from 1 species
GACUCUCGGCAACGGAUAUCUCGGCUCUCGCAUCGAUGAAGAACGUAGCGAAAUUCGAUACCUGGUGUGAAUUGCAGAAUCCCGCGAACCAUCGAGUCUUUGAACGCAAGUUGCGCCCGAGGCCACUCGGCCGAGGGCACGCCUGCCUGGGCGUCA